rnacentral:rRNA from 1 species
CCUACGGGAGGCAGCAGUGAGGAAUAUUGGUCAAUGGGCGCGAGCCUGAACCAGCCAAGUCGCGUGAGGGAUGAAGGCACUACGUAUUGUAAACUUCUUUUGUAAAGGAAUAAAGAGAGGCACGUGUGCCUUUUUGUGUGUACUUUAUGAAUAAGGAUCGGCUAACUCCGUGCCAGCAGCCGCGGUAAUACGGAGGAUCCGAGCGUUAUCCGGAUUUAUUGGGUUUAAAGGGAGCGUAGAUGGUUUGUUAAGUCAGUUGUGAAAGUUCGGGGCUCAACCGUAAAAUUGCAAUUGAUACUGGCAGUCUUGAGUACAGUUGAGGUAGGCGGAAUGCGCGGUGUAGCGGUGAAAUGCUUAGAUAUCACGAAGAACUCCGAUUGCGAAGGCAGCUUACUAAACUGCCACUGACAUUGAGGCUCGAAAGUGUGGGUAUCAAACAGGAUUAGAUACCCGAGUAGUC